rnacentral:rRNA from 1 species
CCUUAAGACAUCGGCGGACGGGUGAGUAACACGUGGGUAACCUGCCUGUAAGACUGGGAUAACUCCGGGAAACCGGGGCUAAUACCGGAUGCUUGAUUGAACCGCAUGGUUCAAUCAUAAAAGGUGGCUUUUAACUACCACUUACAGAUGGACCCGCGGCGCAUUAACUAGUUGGUGAGGUAACGGCUCACCAAGGCGACGAUGCGUAACCGACCUGAGAGGGUGAUCGGCCACACUGGGACUGAAACACGGCCCAAACUCCUACGGGAGGCAGCAGUAGGGAAUCUUCCGCAAUGGACGAAAGUCUGACGGAACAACGCCGCGUGAGUGAUGAAGGUUUUCGGAUCGUAAAACUCUGUUGUUAGGGAAGAACAAGUACCGUUCGAAUAGGGCGGCACCUUGACGGUACCUAACCAGAAAGCCACGGCUAACUACGUGCCAGCAGCCGCGGUAAUACGUAGGUGGCAAGCGUUGUCCGGAAUUAUUGGGCGUAAAGCGCGCGCAGGCGGUUUCUUAAGUCUGAUGUGAAAGCCCCCGGCUCAACCGGGGAGGGUCAUUGGAAACUGGGGAACUUGAGUGCAGAAGAAGAGAGUGGAAUUCCACGUGUAGCGGUGAAAUGCGUAGAGAUGUGGAGGAACACCAGUGGCGAAAGCGACUCUCUGGUCUGUAACUGACGCUGAGCGCGAAAGCGUGGGGAGCCGAACAGGAUUAGA